ACUCCUUCCGGAAUAUUCGAUAAAAUUAGAAAGAUACAAAGAAAAUUAGCAUAACCAUGUGCAAGAAUGACACGCAUGAAUUGAGAAAUGGUCUAAAUUUAA